CCGCACUCCCGCCGGCCCCUCUCCUCUCUCUCCCUCCAAACCCUAGCUAGACCGCGCCCGCCUCCCUUCCCUGCCGCUGUCGUCUCCUCCACCCGGCCAGCCGCCGCCAUACCUCCUCCACCCAGCCAGCCGUCGCCACUCGCGCCCGUCUCCUCCGUCCGGCCUCCGCCCACGAAGAGGGAGAGCGAGCGGGUCAGGCGACGGGAAGGGAAGAGGAGAGGGAGAGCGAGCGGGUCAGGCGACGGGAAGGGAAGAGGAGAGGGAGAGCGAGCGGGUUAGGUGACGGCCAUGGCCAUGGCGCACGCAGAUCCGCCCGCCCCGUCAUCGCCGCUGCGCUCGCAGGUGAGCGGCGCCGACCUAACGGAUCUUCCUCGUCGUCAACCCGGCGUACUGGUGUGGUGGAUCCGCCUCCUCUCUGUUUCAACCAUGGUUGUGCUCUUUCAUGUGCGCGGCCCUCUCCGUGACAACUGCAGCCCAAGGUCGUCAAAUCCGUCACCGUCGCCAUUCUUCUGCUCGAGGCCUUUGCCACCAUGGAUGGAUGCGGGCAAGGCCAGCCUCCCCCUCCCCACGCAUAGGUGACUAUGGGAGUUGCAUUGACAGAGUCCAUGUAUUAAACUGGGGCAUUUUUGGCAACUGCAGCAACCUGACAAUUAAUUCGUUCUCAUCCAAGGUUUACCGCUCGUCUUGCUAAUGUUAAUUUGUAUGUUUGUUCAUGGCUUGCUUCCCAACCACAUGUGCUCCCCACGGUGAGGAACGGACAUGCUCAACGCCUUCCUUCCCAACCAGAUAUGAGAAAGAAGAAAUAGGACCAAGAAAAUUAGUUGCUCAUAUAUUCAUCUGUCUUGCGGAGAAGAACCCGAAUGGAGAACUUGGUAUGCCGAGUAAUGUGCAGGUUGCUUUUGUCCUCUCACCUGCUCUUUGGUCUUCGUCUAUUGCUCUGCUGGCUCGUCAUCUCCUUGGUUGGAGAUGAACAAUCCUAUAUCCGCAAUGAAAGGCAAGGGACAAGCUCCUGUGACUAAAUACCUAGGUAUUUCAAUCAUCCUUGUGCACUGCUCCUGUAGCCCACUUCCAAGACUCUAUGUACUAUGAGCUGUUUUACCAUGCUUACAUCAGAGCUCAAAAGUAGAUGUCAUCAGCAAGUAGGUGAUACAUGUCAGUCUGAUUUAGCAUGUUAGAAUUGCUCACAACAUUUCUUUCGGCAUGCCAAUGAAAAUGGCCCUUCCCGUUCUGAGGUUCAUUAUGUUUAUUGAAGUCCUCACCAUCUUUAUAUUCAUUACAUAUUCUCAAUAGCUUAUUUCUUAAUACCUAAAAUGAAUACCAGGAGCUCAUUCUUACCUCUCCAAUUUAUCCUUAUUUGAGUAUUAAGGGCACCUACAUUUCUUUGGCUCUGUAUGACUGAUCAAAUUAACACACCUCAAUCAUAGUAAAAUCUGAAAGGAGAUGUAAAAGAAUCAAAGAAAAGUAGAGAUGCACAAUAUUUUUUGAUUUUUAGGGAUUGUUCUUGGGUUCAGCUUUUGCUGGCAUGUUGUCAUUACAGAGUUACCCUAUCUCUUUGAAUCGUCAUAUGUACUCCAGCCUCUUAUAGAUUAUGCAACUAGCUAAUGGUUGGAACUUUAAUACUUAGCUUUAUUUACAGGUAGCACAACCUCAUGUUAGUUGCCAUUUUAUUGCUACAGAUAUGGUUUUGUUCUGAUUGUAUAUGUGAUGAUUUUAUCCAUGUGUAUGUAUGUGGUCUUCAAAGUUGUUGAAAGAUUGAAAGCGUAAGCAAGUUCGCCAAAUUCCUUCGGUAAGUCAUAUAUUCUUGUGUCUCUUUCCUAUGUUUUAGAGGUUUAUAGAAGAUAUGAGGUAGAAUAUUUCCUUUUCAGUAUAUCUGAAAUUAUAUGGGAGAGAUUACUAGCUCACACAUAUAGUUCGAUUAUUAGCUUUCUAAAUAAGUUCAGCCCUAGAGCACAUAUUUUUGCAUCCAUUGCUUAUUUAAUCCAUUGGUAUCUAUUUUCUCCGGUUCAUAUAGUAUGUUUACAUUUGACUUGGAAUUGUCUGUACUUUUGUUCUGCUUUUGUUUCAAGGUACUUUCAAAGAAAUCAAUGUCCCAUCUGUCUAUGGAAAACUCUAAGAAGGCUCGAUUGGCACAUGAAGCUCUUAAAUACUUGAGAGCCUUUUACAACAAGGUCCUAUAAGACUACAUACAUAUAUUACACCGGUUGUCCCAGCUCAUAGUUAGUUGUCAUGAGUCCGGUUGGUUGAACAAGGUCCUAUAAGACUACAUACAUAUAUUGCUACAGAUAUGGUGUUGCCAUUUUAUUGCUACAGAUAUGGUUGUUCUGAUUGUAUACAUACAUAUAAUUCUGCAGUUUGUUCACGCCCGAAUAAUAUUAAUGUAUACUCUUACAAUACAUGGCUUGCUCUCGGCCUU